GGUUCGGUGGUGUAGUGGUUAUCACGUCUGUCUCACAUUAAAUGUUGCACAGGAGGUCCCCGGUUCGAGACCGGGUCGAACCA